CAUUUUAGUUUCCUCUGCGAAAACCAUGUCAAUCUUUUGUCAAAUUAUUACAUGGGCAGUAACAACACUCAAAUUCAGGGUGGAUUUGGGAUGAGU